UAGGAUAUAGCUGACCAAUGUUCUCUUUAAAUGUAAUUUCCAUCUGCCACAUUUUAAAUUACAGGUUUUUGCAUCAGGAAACUGUUGGGUCCAAUUAUUUGGUGCCUUGGAAAGGGCAUUAAAUGCAUAGUGAGAAGAUCCUGGUUUAAUCUGACAUUCCACUUACUAGGUGUAGAAGCUUAAGCAAGUUAAUUAAUCUUUGAGUCUGUAUACCCAGCUGCAAAAUGAGGAUAAUGCUUAUCUUAUAGAGUGUUGUGAAAGCAAUGAAGAUUGUGUGAAAGGGUUUCAUAAACUGACAAGCACUGCACAAAUGUGAGGUCCCCUAAGGAAAACCUUUUCAAAACUCAAAAUCUAUAUGAACAGAGAUACUUAUUCAUGUUGGGUGGAAUGUUUUACAGCCAUUAAAAAUUGUAAGAGAAAAUAUAUUGAAAAAUACAAUCUAAAAUGGUGAGUUUGCAAUUACAACAGUGUAAAACCUGUGUACAUAGACUAGAAUAUGGAAAAAAUGGAUUACAGGGCAGUGGAAUUGAGUGACUUUUGCUUUAAAGACUCUUAGGUAUAUUAGGUGUAUUCAGUUUAGUUCAAUAAACUUUUAUUGAGCUCUCACUCUCCCAAUCCCCGUGCUAGAUUCUAUGAGUGCUGAGACAAAUAGGACAUACUCCCUCCUCUCAGAGACUCCCAUUCUGUACAGUCUUGUCAAAGUUUACUGUGUAUGUGAAUCACUGGGGAGCGUAUUAAAAAUUCACAUUAUCUUACUCCCACCAGAAGAUCUGAUUCAGUAGGUCUGGGAUGGAACUAGCUCACAAUUUACAUUGUUUUAAACAGUCACCCUGAGUAAUUCUAGUGUAAGUAUUUUAAUUCUGUACUGAGAAACCUGCAGUGAGAUUUUAAUAUUUUUACACUAAACGGUAAGUAAUAAUUAUACAAAUCUGCUCAUUGAAGAAGUUACCUGUUCUCUCUGCAUGCUUGAGCUGGUUUUUAUGUGUCUCUAUCAAGGAUGGGAAGGCCAGCCUGCAGUGAUACCCCUUGGAACCCUUGCAGUGUAGAAACUACCACACCUCUCAACUUUUAUCUCUUUUCCUCACUCCAUUUCUCCCCACCACUUCUCCUAAUGUUUUCUUCUUUCUAUGCAAGUGUUAAUCUCCCACUCUGGUUCCUUCUAUGCCUAGUACUGUAUCAACAUCCAGGUGCUUCCCCUUCCUUUCUCCACCCCACCUCCCAGCCAGAUAUGUCAAUUGUAUUGAAAACAACUUACAUCUAGUUUACUAAGUACAAACUUGUGCUGGUUAAUGCUUCUCAAAAAGUAGGAGUGGGCUGUUUGUUGAGAUCAACAGUCAUUUUUUAAAAAAUCCGAUAUGGAAAUUUUUGUGUCAAGUUUCACUAUCACUUAGUUCUUGACUGAUUUUCUUCUGAUGGGUUAGUAGCUCUCAACAGAAGUUUAAAAGUCCCCUGCUCAGGUACCUGUCCUGCCGAUAGAGCUGGGGUGUACCCUGCACCCUGACUCAACAUUGCUUGUCUCCACAUGCCUGUAAAUGGGCUUGGGUGGCUUUCUCAGGCUACACACCUGUCACUUCUUAGUCACCCAGAAUCAAAAUAUUAACAGCUCUGAUCACAUUUUCCGAACCUAUGAGGCUUUAUUUCAGGAGUGGUGACACUCCAAAAUGCAGCUAGGAUUUCCACAUUUUCACGUGUUAGUGUUGAAAUCAUUUUUACUUCAGGAAACCAAGGGUUGGACAAUGGCUUCCAGACUUUCUCCUUUCGUUAUGCUCCUUCAGCGCCUUAUGCAAAUACCGUUUGUCUUAUGCUGCCAUUCGUCUCCUCUGCCAGAAUGUGAGGUCCACGACAGCAGGGAUAAGAAUGCAUUCAUUUUUAUAUCUGCAGUGCCUUGGAGAGUGUCUGACACAUAGUGGGCACUCAUUUAAAAACCACCAAUUGAAUCAUUAAGGUGACCAAAAACAGGGUGGGGGAAAUACGUCCAUCAGACAACAGGGAAAUAUUUCUUAAAAAAAAAAAUUUCCCAAAACUAGCUUUUCCCUCUUUAUGUGUCUGAAAUAUCUCAUAAAUUUUUAAACUAUCCCUUUCAGCACAAAUCUGCCUGGAGCUGUUUCCUGAACACAGGACCAAAAGGCAGGAAUCAAAAGUAGUAAUGAGUUUAGUUAUCUGUCUGUUACUGAAGGUGACUUCUAGGGCAUCCUCCUGGCAUUGCUUCUGGAAUACAGUGACUUAGACUUAUUCGGAAGAACAUCUCUAUGCUGUUCAUCACAUCACCAGCACCUAGCCCUGUGCCUGUGCAUAGUAAAUGCUCAGAAAAGAAAAAACAACAAAGUUUCCAGCUCUUACUCUAGAUUGACACUGGACCUUGUUGAUGCUUGCAGCCACUAAAUGUAAUGCCACAUGAUUGUUGACCCAACAAUAAUCCAGUUAAAAAACAGUCUUCAGAGUUACUACAUCAUCAGAAUUAACCCUGAUUACAUCAAAUUAUGUUGAAACAGACCACAGCUGUUUGCCCUGUUGAAGCAACUGCUUGAGAGCUCCUCCGGAAGAUACAUCUGGGUGUCACUAAGAUACAUUUUGGGUUUAGUUUUGUUUCUCAACACAAAUGUAGGAGGGAAACAAACCCUGUUCUGCUGGGGUGCUUGGUGGGAGCUGAAAACCUUGUGAUUCUCCAGCAGUCAAAAGUCAUCUCAAUUACCAAAGAGAAGGGAACCUGAGAUCUUUUGUUUCAGUUUUCUAUAGGAAGGAUGUAAGAGGAAGGAAAUUCAAAUCUGUUGAGUAUUGCUCUUGCCAGCAAAAAGAAGUGGAACUGACUAGUGAGAUGGUGGUGAGAUUUUCUUUGGUGGCUGUGUGCAGUGGUAUCAACCCAGGAGAGUAGACUGUUCAAUUGUGAAGAAUUUUGCAAGAUGGUUGUUAAAAUAGAACAUCGUUAAAAUUAAGUUGUAAUAAAAAAAGGGAAAUAAGCAUUGGAAAAGAUGUGGACAGAUUGGAACCCUCAUACAUUGCUGAUGGGAAUGUAAAAUGGUGUAGCCACUGUGGAAAAAAGUUCAGCAGUUCCUUAAAAAGUUAAACAGUGUCACCAUAUGACUCAGCAUUUUCACUUCUAGAUAAAUACCUAGAUUGAAAACGUAUGUCCACACAAAAACUUGUACAGGAAUGAUCGCAACAGCAUUAUUCAUAAUAGCC